GAUGAACGCUGGCGGCGUGCCUAAUACAUGCAAGUCGAGUGGACAGAUGAGGAGCUUGCUCCUCUGACGUUAGCGGCGGACGGGUGAGUAACACGUGGAUAACCUACCUAUAAGACUGGGAUAACUUCGGGAAACCGGAGCUAAUACCGGAUAAUAUAUUGAACCGCAUGGUUCAAUAGUGAAAGACGGUUUUGCUGUCACUUAUAGAUGGAUCCGCGCCGCAUUAGCUAGUUGGUAAGGUAACGGCUUACCAAGGCAACGAUGCGUAGCCGACCUGAGAGGGUGAUCGGCCACACUGGAACUGAGACACGGUCCAGACUCCUACGGGAGGCAGCAGUAGGGAAUCUUCCGCAAUGGGCGAAAGCCUGACGGAGCAACGCCGCGUGAGUGAUGAAGGUCUUCGGAUCGUAAAACUCUGUUAUUAGGGAAGAACAAAUGUGUAAGUAGCUAUGCACGUCUUGACGGUACCUAAUCAGAAAGCCACGGCUAACUACGUG
rnacentral:rRNA from 1 species